UACAGAGGUGCCAAGCGUUGUUCGGAUUUACUGGGCGUAAAGGGUGCGUAGGCGGCCGUUGCAAGUCGGGUGUGAAAUCCCGGAGCUUAACUCCGGAACGGCAUCCGAAACUGCACGGCUAGAGAACUGGAGAGGUGACUGGAAUUCUCGGUGUAGCAGUGAAAUGCGUAGAUAUCGAGAGGAACACCAGAGGCGAAAGCGGGUCACUGGACAGAUUCUGACGCUGAGGCACGAAAGCCAGGGUA
rnacentral:rRNA from 1 species